rnacentral:rRNA from 1 species
UGCCAGCAGCCGCGGUAAUACGGAGGGUGCGAGCGUUAAUCGGAAUUACUGGGCGUAAAGCGUACGCAGGCGGUUUGUUAAGCGAGAUGUGAAAGCCCCGGGCUCAACCUGGGAACUGCAUUUCGAACUGGCAAACUAGAGUGUGAUAGAGGGUGGUAGAAUUUCAGGUGUAGCGGUGAAAUGCGUAGAGAUCUGAAGGAAUACCGAUGGCGAAGGCAGCCACCUGGGUCAACACUGACGCUCAUGUACGAAAGCGUGGGGAGCAAACAGGAUUAGAUACCCUGGUAGUCCACGCCGUAAACGAUGUCUACUAGAAGCUCGGAGCCUCGGCUCUGUUUUUCAAAGCUAACGCAUUAAGUAGACCGCCUGAGGAGUACGGCCGCAAGGUUAAAACUCAAAUGAAUUGACGGGGGCCCGCACAAGCGGUGGAGCAUGUGGUUUAAUUCGAUGCAACGCGAAGAACCUUACCUACACUUGACAUACAGAGAACUUACCAGAGAUGGUUUGGUGCCUUCGGGAACUCUGAUACAGGUGCUGCAUGGCUGUCGC